rnacentral:lncRNA from 1 species
GAAGAAUCACAAAAGAAGUGAAUAUGCCCUGCCCCACCUUAACUGAUGACAUUCCACCACAAAAGAAGUGUAAAUGGCCGGUCCUUGCCUUAAGUGAUGAUAUUACCUUGUGAAAGUCCUUUUCCUGGCUCAUCCUGGCUCAAAAAGCACCCCCACUGAGCACCUUGCGACCCCCCACUCCUGCCUGCCAGAAAACAACCCCCCUUUGACUGUAAUUUUCCUUUACCUACCCAAAUCCUAUAAAAUGGCCCCACCCCUAUCUCCCUUUGCUGACUCUCUUUUCGGACUCAGCCCACCUGCACCCAGGUGAUUAAAAGCUUUAUUGCUCACACAAAGCCUGUUUGGUGGUCUCUUCACAUGGACGUGCAUGAAAUUUGGUGCCGUGACUCAGAUCGGGGGACCUCCCUUGGGAGAUCAAUCCCCUGUCCUCCUGUUGUUUGCUCCAUGAGAAAGAUCCACCUACGACCUCAGGUCCUCAGACUGACCAGCCCAAGGAACAUCUCACCAAUUUUAAAUCAGGUAAGCGGCCUCUUCUUACUCUCUUCUCCAACCUCUCUCACUGUCCCUCAACCAUUUUCUCCUUUCCACUCUUCAAUCUCUCCCUUCUCUUAAUUUCAAUUCCCUUCAUUUUCUGGGAGAGACAAAGGAGACACGUUUUAUCCGUGGACCCAAAACUCCAGCACCGGUCACGGACUAGGAAGGCAGACUUCCCUUGGUGUUUAAUCAUUGCAAGGACACCUCUCUGAUUAUUCAUCCACAUUUCAAAGGUGUCAGACCACGCAGGGAUGCCUGCCGUGGUCCUUCACCCUUAGCGACAAGUCCCGCUUUUCUGGGAAAGGGGCAAGUACCCCAACCCCUUCUCUCCUUGUCUCUACCCCUUCUCUGCUUUUCUGGGGGAGGGGCAAGUACCCCUCAACCCCUUCUCCUUCAACCUUAGUGGCAAGUCCCGCUUUUCUGGGGGAGGGGCAAGUACCCCUCAACCCCUUCUCCUUCACUCUUAGUGGCAAGUCCCACUUUUCUAGAGGAGGGGGCAAGUACCCCAACCUCAUAUCUCUGUGCUCCAAUCCCUUAUUUCCAUGCCGCGACCCCUUAUUUCCGUGCCCCGACCCCUUAUUUCCAUGCCCCGACCCCUUAUUUCCAUGCCCCAUCCCUUAUUUCUAUGCCUCAACCUCUUAUCUCUGUGCCCCAACCCCUUUUCCCACUUUUCUGGAAGGUAAGAACCCCCAAACCCCUUCCCUCCAUUUCUCUACUCUCUCUUUUCUCUAGGCUUGCUUCCUUCACUAUAGGCAACUUUCCACCCUCCAUUCCUCCUUCUACUCCCUUGGCCUGUGUUCUCAAAAACUUAAAACCUCUUCAACUCACAUCUGACCUAAAACCUAAAUGCCUUAUUUUCUUCUGCAAUGCCGCUUGACCCCAGUACAAACUUGACAGUAGUUCCAAAUAGCCAGAAAAUGGCACUUUGAAUUUUUCCAUCCUGCAAGAUCUAAAUAAUUCUUGUCAUAAAAUAGGUAAACGGUCUGAGGUGCCUGACGUCCAGGCAUUCUUUUACACAUUAGUCACUUCCUAGUCUCUGUGCCCAGUGCAACUCGUCCCAAAUCUUCCUUCUUUCCCUCCCACCUGUCCCCUCAGUACCAACCCCAAGCAUUGCUGAGUCUUUCUAAUCUUCCUUUUCUGCAGACCCAUCUGACCUCUCCCUUCCUCCCCAGGCUGCUCCUUGCCAGGCUGAGCUAGGUCCCAAUUCUUCCUCAGCCUCUGCUCCUCCAUGCUAUAAUCUUUUUAUCACCUCCCCUCCUCACACUGGGUCCUGCUUACAGUUUCGUUACGUGACUAGCCCUCCCCAUCCUGCCCAGCAAUUUACUCUUAAAAAAGUGGCUGGAGCUAAAGGCAUAGUCAAGGUUAAUGCUCCUUUUUCUUUAUCCCAAAUCAGAUAGGGUUUAGGCUCUUUUUCAUCAAAUAUAAAAACCCAGCCCAGUUCAUGACUUGUUUGGCAACAACCCUGAGACACUUUACAGCCCUAGACCCUAAAACGUCAAAAGGCCGUCUUAUUCUCAAAAUACAUUUUAUUACCCAAUCUGCUCCCGACAUUAAAUAAAACUCCAAAAAUUAAAUUCCGGCCCUCAAACCCCACAACAGGAUUUAAUUAACCUCGCCUUCAAGGUGUAUAAUAAUAGAAAAUAGUUGCAAUUCCUUGCCUCCACUGUGAGACAAACCCCAGCCACAUCUCCAGCACACAAGAACUUCCAAACGCCUGAACCGCAGCGGCCACGCGUUCCUCCAGAACCUCCUCCCACAGGAGCUUGCUACAUGUGCCGGGAAUCUGGCCACUGGGCCAAGGAAUGCCUGCAGCCCAGGAUUCCUCCUAAGCCGCGUCCCAUCUGUGUGGGACCCCACUGAAAAUCGGACUGUUCAACUCACCUGGCAGCCACUCCCAGAGCCCCUGGAACUCUGGCCCAAGCCUCUCUGACUGACUCCUUCCCAGAUCUUCUCGGCUUAGCGGCUGAAGACUGACACUGCCGGAUCACCUCGGAAGCCCCCUAGAACGUCACUGACGCCGAGCUUCAGGUAACUCUCACAGUGGAAGGUAAGCCCGUCCCCUUCUUAAUCAAUACGGAGGCUACCCACUCCACAUUACCCUCUUUUCAAGGGCCUGUUUCCCUUGCCUCCAUAACUGUUGUGGGUAUUGAUGGCCAAGCUUCUAAACCUCUUAAAACUCCCCAACUCUGGUGCCAACUUAGACAAUACUCUUUUAAGCACUCCUUUGUAGUUAUCCCCACCUGCCCAGUUCCCUGAUUAGGCUGAGACACUUUAACUAAAUUAUCUGCUUCCCUGACUAUUCCUGGACUACAGCUGUAUCUCAUUGCCGCCCUUCUUCCCAAUCCAAAGCCUCCUUUGCGUCCUCCUCUUGUAUUCCCCCACCUUAACCCACAAGUAUAAGAUACCUCUACUCCCUCCUUGGGGACUGAUCAUGCACCCCUUACCAUCUCAUUAAAACCUAAUCACCCUUACCCCACUCAACGCCAAUAUCCCAUCCCGCAGCAUGCUUUAAAAAGAUUAAAGCCUGUUAUCACUCGCCUGCUACAGCAUAGUCUUUUAAAGCCUAUAAACUCUCCUUACAAUUCCCCCAUUUUACCUGUCCUAAAACCAGACAAGCCUUACAAGUUAGUUCAGGACCUGCACAUUAUCAAUCAAAUUGUUUUGCCUAUCCACCCUGUGGUGCCCAACCCGUACACUCUUUUGUCCUGAAUACCUUCCUCCACAACUCACUAUUCCCUGCUUGAUCUUAAAGACGCUUUUUUCACUAUUCCCCUGCACCCCUCGUCCCAGCCUCUCUUUGCUUUCAUUUGGACUGACCUUGACACCAUCAAGCUCAGCAAACUACCUAGGCUGUACUGCCGCAAAGCUUCACAGACAGCCCCCAUUACUUCAAUCAAGCCCAAAUUUCUUCCUCAUCUGUUACCUAUCUCGGCAUAAUUCUCAUAAAAACACACGUGCUCUCCCUGCCAAUCGUGUCUGACUGAUCUCUCAAACCCCAGCACCUCCUACAAAACAACAACUCCUUUCCUUCCUAGGCAUGGUUAGCGCAGUCAGAAUUCUUACACAAGAGCCAGGACCACACCCUGUAGCCUUUCUGUCCAAACAACUUGACCUUACUGUUUUAGCCUAGCCCUCAUGUCUGCAUGCAGUGGCUGCCGCUGCUUUAAUACUUUUAGAGGCCCUCAAAAUCACAAACUAUGCUCAACUCACUCUCUACAGUUCUCAUAACUUCCAAAAUCUAUUUUCUUCCUCAUACCUGACGCAUAUACUUUCUGCUUCCCGGCUCCUUCAGCUGUACACUCUUUGUUGAGUCUCCCACAAUUACUGUUGUUCCUGGCCCAGACUUCAAUCCGGCCUCCCACAUUAUUCCUGAUACCACACCUGACCCCCAUGACUGUAUCUCUCUGAUCCACCUGACAUUCACCCCAUUUCCCCAAAUUUCCUUCUUUCCUGUUCCUCACCCUGAUCACGCUUGAUUUAUUGAUGGCGGUUCCACCAGGCCUAAUCGCCACACACCAGCAAAGGCAGUUUAUACUAUAGUACAAGCCACUAGCCUGCCUCUUAGAACAUCUCAUUUCCUUUCCAUCAUGGGAAUCUAUCCUCAAGGAAAUAACUUCUCAGUGUUCCAUCUGCUAUUCUACUACUCCUCAGGGAUUAUUCAGGCCUCCUCCCUUCCCUACACAUCAAGCUCAAGGAUUUGCCCCACCCAGGACUGGCAAAUUAGCUUUACUCAACAUGCCCUGAGACCGAUAACUAAAAAAACCUCUUAGUCUAGGUAGAUACUUUCACUGGAUAGGUAGAGGCCUUUCCUACAGGUCUGAGAAGGCCCCCGCAGUCAUUUCUUCCAUUCUGUCAGACAUAAUUCCUCAGUUUAGCCUUCCCACCUCAAUACAGUCUGAUAACAGACGAGCCUUUAUUAGUCAAAUCAGCCAAGCAGUUUUUCAGGCUCUUAGUAUUCAGUGAAACCUUUAUAUCCCUUAUGGUCCUCCGUCUUCAAGAAAAGUAGAAUGGACUAAAGGUCUUUUAAAAACACACCUCACCAAGCUCAGCCACCAACUUAAAAAGGACUGGACAAUACUUUUACCACUUUCCCUUCUCAGAAUUCAGGCCUGUCCUCGGAAUGCUACAGGGUACAGCCCAUUUAAGCUCCUGUAUAGAUGCUCCUUUUUAUUAGGCCCCAGUCUCAUUCCAGACACCAGACCAACUUAGACUGUGCCCCAAAAAAACUUGUCAUCCCUACUAUCUUCUGUCUAGUCAUACUCCUAUUCACCAUUCUCAACGACUCAUACAUGCCUUGCUCUGGUUUACACUGCCGGUUUACACUGUUUUUCCAAGCCAUCACAGCUGAUAUCUCCUGGUGCUAUCCCCAAACUGUCACUUUUAACUCUUGAAGUAAAUAAAUAAUCUUUGCUGGCAGGACUAUGCCGAAUCUCCUUAAGCACUCUCUAAUCAGAUAUCCUGAGUCGUCCCAAUUCUCAGACCUUUUAUACCUGUUUUUCUCCUUCUGUUAUUCCAUUUAGUUUCUCAAUUCAUCCAAAACCGUAUCUAGGCCAUCACCAAUCACUCUAUAUGACAAAUGUUUCUUCUAACAUCCCCACAAUAUCACCCCUUACCACAAGACCUCCCUUCAGCUUAAUCUCUCCCACUCUAGGUUCCCACGCCGCCCCUAAUCCCGCUUGAAGCAGCCCUGAGAAACAUCGUCCAUUCUCUCUCCAUAUCACCCCCCAAAAAUUUUCGCUGCCCCAACACUUCAACACUUUUUUGUUUUAUUUUUCUUAUUAAUAUAAGAAGGCAGGAAUGUCAGGCCUCUGAGCCCGAGCCAAGCCAUCACGUCCCCUGUGACUUGCACAUAUACGCCCAGGUGGCCUAAAGUAACUGAAGAAUCACAAAAGAAGUGAAAAUGCCCUGCCCCACCUUAACUGAUGACAUUCCACCACAAAAGAAGUGUAAAUGGCUGGUCCUUGCCUUAAGUGAUGACAUUACCUUGUGAAAGUCCUUUUCCUGGCUCAUCCUGGUUCAAAAAGCACCCCCACUGAGCACCUUGCAACCCCCACUCCUGCCUGCCAGAGAACAACCCCCCUUUGACUGUAAUUUUCCUUUACCUACCCAAAUCCUAUAAAACGGCCCCACCCCUAUCUCCCUUUGCUGACUCUCUUUUCGGACUCAGCCCACCUGCACCCAGGUGAUUAAAAGCUUUAUUGCUCACACAAAGCCUGUUUGGUGGUCUCUUCACAGGGACACGCAUGAAAAAAAUGUGCUGGGAACAGGAGAUACCAGGUAGUUCUGCCCUCAGGGCCCACUCAUGGCAGGUAGUGGUAAGCCAAGCAUUCUGGACCUUGGGCCACCAGGUGGCAUAUGCAAGCACAGUUUUAGUGAGUGCAGGUGGGCAAAUUCUUGAGACUCCAGGCAGUCUUCCUGUAUGCUGGCAGUGGGAGUGGUAAGCCAGAUCCGUGGGUGAGUCCUUAGGCCCUUAAGCCGAAUGUAUGGCCUGGAUUAUGGUAGUAGUGAUGGCAGGAUAAUUUUGGGGCUCUCAUGUGGCACUCACUAAUGUUAGCUGUUGGUAUGAUGGGCUGAGCAAGCUGGUCCCCAGGUUCCUUGGUUGUGCAUGUGCAUGGAUGUAGUUGAUGGUAUUGAUGACAGGCUAUAUGGGCUCACCUUCAGGAUUCCAGAAGUAGGGUACAGAUGCUAGAGGUGGUAGAAGGGGUUGGGUAAUCCCCAGGUCCCUGGGAGGGGUGCUCAUGCUUUGGGUGGGGGAAGCAAUGGUGACAGGUCUGGUGGGCCUGAUCUCAGGGCAUCAGGGUGUGCAGAGCUCCAGGAGGUAGUAGGCAGGGCAGGCAGUCUGUGGUGUUGGUUGUGGAGAGCCUGACCUCUGGGCUGGUGCUAGAGUGUGGUGAUCCUGCUGUUGAGUAUGGGUGGGGUUGCUAUCAGUGGUCCCCUGCAGGGAGCUCUCAGUUUCUGGGUAGUGUUUGCUUUGUCUCCUGGCUGCAGUCAGUGACUGCUAUCAUGUUCAAAGGGGUCAGAUGGAUCCUGCCUUUCUGGGUGUGAACUCAAGCACAGAGGCUGUGUUGUUGGUGGGAAUGGGGUUACUAUUUGCAUCCUCAGACAGGCAGCUGUCAGGCUCACUCACUUUGGCUCCCCGUGGCAGCAGCACUAUUGUGAUAUGCAGAAAGGGGAAGGGAUCCAUUUUCACAUGAGCCCAAGUACUGAGAACAUACUGCUAAUAGGGAUGUGGUUACUGUUUACAUACCCAGACUCUCAGAUUUAAGGUUUGCUUGCUUUGGCUUUCAGAGGCAGCAGUGGCUGCAGCAGUGUGGAGAGUUGGGGAAGGGAUCUUGACCUCUGUGCAUAAGCUAGAGCACAAAGGCCAUGCUGCUAGUUAGGGCAGGGUGGUUCCCUGCCCUAAUGGUACCAGGUACCAUUGGUAUCAUUAUACCAGGCAGGGAGCUCUUGGGUUCUGCCAAGCACAUGCACUGGUUCCCUUUGUCUCAGGAGAAGCCUCCUUGAUGUACUGCGCUAUCAUUUCCUUGAGGAGUUGUACUCCCUGUGGGUUAGAGUGCUGGGGACCCCACAACACCAUCGGGUCCAGCCACCAUUGUGCCACUGAAGCCCUCCAGGUGGAUGCCAGGGAAUUCUACUGGGGGUUCACAGGGUGUGAAGAUGUGGAAUUGUUGGUUCUCAGAAGAGGAUGCAGUCUGGUGGAAGCUGGACUCUGGCCAUAGUGCCCUACUGCAGCUGCUUAUGUCUUGCUAUGUGAUGUGGUGCAAGUUUCCCGCUUGCAGCAAUGCCCUGGCAGGCCUCUAGAUCACCACGCUGUAGAGUCCCCACCUAUGCUAAUCUCAGAGCUGUAUAGAUGGAAGAGGUCUCCUGUGGUUAGGAUUGCAGUAGUCUAAGGGAGAUCACACAUAAAGAAACUCUCCUUUCCUUCCAACUGGUGGGGUUCCUCAUGUGAUGGAUGUCUCCAAUUCCAAGCAAUAUUACAGCUAGCAGUUCAGUACCUCUCUGCUCAGCAGUGAAGGAAAUCUAAUGGAAACUUAGAAAAAGAAUGAAAACUCUAUCCCUAGUUUUCUAAGGAACACAUAUGGCACAGAGACAGGACUGGCAGCAAACAAAGAUAAAUGAAGAGUCACCCUCAGUGAAAUCCUGACUGCUGCUUUAAGUUCUCUACCACAUUUUGGAUUUUAGUGUUAGGAUUAUUUCUGAAGGAGUCUUCUGAACCUCAUGUUACUUACAGGAAAAACAAUAGAAUUUGAUUUACAUAAAUGUCCUUCUCAAACCCUUUGAUCAAUGGUGCUCAAGUUCCAUUUUAUCUGUAUACCCAUAGUUAUUCAAUUGUUUAACUCAUUUUCUGAGCAACCAAGUUCUCAGUGCAGAGAACUCAAUUAUGUUGUUUGCUUUUCUGAUCCACCAUCUUCUGUGUGCACUCAUGAUAGGAUGAACAUGGGAUGAAAUCAUAUUUGUAAUGAAUUAUAGAAUGAUCCCUGAAGGUAGAGUACUUGUAAUUAUAUUUAUAUAUCUUUUGUGGUUCAUAUCUCAUAAGCGAUAGAUCCAUGCUUAUCAUGUUAAUCGUGUUAUUCAUUGGAUUUAGGAUCUGACUUGCCUCCACCGGAGACUGCUUCCAAGUCUGAUUUUUGCAAGUCACUGAACAUUUCUUCCUGGUCGUAAAAUAUUCAUUAUUUCAACUAAUAGUAAUAUGGUUUUCUUUCUAAUGUAUUCAUAGCCCAUAGCUUUUUGAGCUCUAGACAGACUGAUUUGAACCUUUUAAGCAAUAAAUGAGAAGAAUCAUUUUUUGAAAUAGAUAAUAUUAUUUUAUUUAGAAUAACAACAUGCCACUUGGGGAGAUAUUUUUUGUAUAUCUAAUUGCCACUUGGGGAGUUUUUUUUUUGUAUAUCUAAAAGUUCUCACCAGAAUAUACUUUAUACAGAACUAUUGCAAACAAACUUGGAAUCAUAAAAUUUCGAGGCAUACUUUGUGGAAAUAUACCAUAAAUUGUGUAAAUAUCUGAGUAUAAAGUGGAGCUGUUUCGAGACUGACUGUAUUUAAGUAAUGGAGAUGCAUAUAAAACUUAGAUUUUAAAUAUUUUAUUAAUCUUGGCAUAGUGCAUCCUAAUUAGGCAGGAAAAGACCUGGAGGGAUGGAAAGGUAUUCCCACACCUUCUUCUCAUGCAUAUUGUCUUUAGUCAUUACUUACAAUUAUUAUUUUUUGUUUGGUGGUUUUUGGUUUCAAAGGGAUAAUUACUUAAAAGGAAAGAUACUGACUAAAAUAUUUGCUUUGUGUUAGUUUAAUUUAAUGAUCUAAUAUUUGUGUUAUUUUAUCCAUGAAAGCAAUACUUCUGCCUGCAAGUAUCUAAACCAGUCAUAUAUUUCUACCUCACCUUCUUUGGUAAACAGGCCUUCAUUAUUUUAUUCUUGAUCAGUUGAAAUUUAAACUGAAAUAAAAUACACUUAUUCAAAAUAUUUAAAUUAUAUAAAAACAAAAAUAUUUAGAAAGACUGAGAUCAUUUAUAGUAUCCUUAGUUUUUCUCUAGAGGGUUUAGCAGCAGGUUGCUUCUAAUUCGGACUUUAUGUAAUUAUAAAAUUCUGAAAAAAAUGUUAACUAGAAACUAUCUUGUGUUUAUGUUUAAUUACUUUAAUAAUAAUUGUUGUGCUUCAUUCAUUAUUGAGGAAAAAUUGUAAGCCUUCUUUCCUAGUUCUCACAUUAUUUUACCAACUACGGGGCAUUAUGGCAAUCAUACCCUACUGAGGUUGAGUAUUAAAAAAUAAAUAUUUAAAAUUAAAAUACAGCUUGUCACAUAGAAUGAGCACCUGAUGCCAUUUAUGAGGAACAGGUGGAUGUUUAUUCAGGCAUGUUUUAUGUACCAGCAGGAAUUAUUUCAAUUAAAUAUCAAUGUCACUGCCUUUAGAGAAGACUGAAACAAGAGCAAAGGAUACACAUACACACAGACACACACACAGGCAUGUAGGUGACACAGGAACUUAAGGUAUCUGAACUGAACCAGAUUUACAAAAAAGAUUGGUUCAAUUUGUCUAGAUUGCCUAAAGGAAGAGGUAGUUGCCUCUAAAAUAGAUCAAGAGAUUUUGAUCUUUGUUGUUGCAUUGAAAUGUGCGAUUCUGCAGGUGCUAUUAUUCUUUGAAACUUUCUUUGGGUGAAUUGAACAUAAUAUUCUUAGGUGGGUUGGGAAAUAAAAAUGACUAGGAAAAACAUGUGUCUUUGCAUUCAGUAUAUAGUGUCUUGAAUUAGCAAGUUAUCUAAGUUGUGUUAAUGGAGAAAAAUACGCAAGAUAAAUAUUUGGGUUAUCACAAAGGCAAAUAUUCCUAAUUAGUGAGAGUGAGGGAGGAGAAGGAGACAGAGAAAAAAUAUGAAUAACUUAUUCAAAUAUACUUCUAUUUUUAAAAUACUCCAAGAUAUUGUGAUCUGUAAAUGUGUAUAUAUGUUUUCACAUCAAUUAUUGCAACUUAAUAUGGGAAAAAUUAAGGCUUGUUUUAAUACCAAAAUACCACUCAACAACACAGUACAUGAGCAGCUGUUCACACUGAAUGAUGUAGAUAAUUAAUCUAAUUUUCCCUGUGCUUCAUUUUGUGUUCUAUUAGUUUUCUUAUUCAAACUUUCAAGUCACAAAUCUGAUUUAAAACCUCUUAACUGGUCUAAUGCAUAAUGUGUUCUCUCUGCAUUCAGUGUCUAGCAGUAAGCCGCAAAGCUGGAAUACUAAUUUGUUUUGGAAUGUGAAAAACACUCAAUAAUCAAAUAAUAAAAUCCUGGAUCCACCAUUUCUUAAUGACACGACCAAAUGAGUCCAAUGCCUUGAAAUGUGAGCAUAAGUUAAAAAAUAGAACAAAGAAGAAUAUAACAAUGUGAAUGAAGAAAGGAGAACCAUGCUAACAAGAACACCAUAUUCAAUAUAUUUGGUCUCUAUUCAAAAUGGUCCCAAUUCAGAAUACAAGAUUUUUAAAUGAGCAAGACAAAUUUUGAUUAACAAUAUUAAUGUUGCUAUUUUAAUAUUUGCUACUCUCUAUCUUCUCUCUCUUUUCCUAUUUCUCUCUUCUUCUGUCAACACACUCAUGAUUAUCUGAAUUUACAUUUAAUAUUCGAAAAUUAUUUUCUGUAGUCUCUUUGAAAAAGUCUGUAUUGAUUUUUCAAAACAAAAGAGCUUUGUUCCCUUUUCUUUUCUUGCAAUGUUUGUACCUCCUUUGGCAAAAUAAAGUUUAUUUCCAUACUUUCUCUUGAAUUCAAGUAAAUAAAAAAACACACACACACAUUUCCUAAAAUGAAGAAAUAGGUUAUGUCAGAAAAAUUAACCAUGUACUGAGUGAUUAAACUAUUUUGUGUAGAAAUGUCAUUUCUAUUUUGUUUAAAUGUAAUGCAAUUUACCAGACCAUAAAGAACUCCUUAGAUGAAAUGGCUGUUUUCCAGGCAAUGCUACUCUGCUGCUGAUUGCAAUAUAUUCUGACAUCUAUGACAGUUUUAUAAUUCUUCUAUUCUGUGCUCUGAAGUGUCCCUACUUUGCUGAAGGUUUUCUCCUGGGAAAAGGCACUACAGUUUUGUGGACUGAAAGGACAAUAAACAGUUUGAUGG